CUGAAAUGCAGUGGGAAACGGUAAAUGAAUGUGAAUUUUACAGCAAAAUCCUGUAGGAGUUUCCAGGGGCACCUGGAAAUCACUCCAGCUGAAUAACCUGCUACUAAAAGCCAGUGUGGGCAGGUGGGAUUGAAUGAAAGAACCAGAGAGAAAUAGUCACAGCCAAAAUGCCAACCAAAAGAAGAACAUAAUGUUCUUCUGCUCCUCUGUCCAAAGGAAAGAAAUCUACCACAAGGGAAGAAAUCUGCCACAUCCUCCCUGCCUGACAGAAAGUGGGCAGCAGGACUUGGGCUCCAGAGGAAAAUAAAAUCAGCGAGAAAGACUCAAGUGAAGCACUGAAGAGUUUAGGAGGAACAAGAGUCCAUGUUCACGCUACGGUGUUGAUAGGCCCGACUUCAAAUGAUUUUUGCAUGCCUUCAACCCUCCUGAGCCAGAGCCAGCUCUCCUCCAGGCUGGUUUCCAAGGGGAGAUGUCACACCACAAAAUCUCCCUCCGUGCCCUGCCACAGUUGGUCCUGAUUUGACUGUCUCUGUGGAGAAGCUAAGGAUCAAAUGCUCCGUGGCGCCAGACUGUUUUCUUUUGCAGCCUGCAGGAACCGCUGCUGACCCUGGUCAGAAGAGGCACGCUGCUCCCUGCGCUGGGGGGGCUGCAGCACCCCUCCUGCCAAGCUGAUGGAUUGCGGCCCCGAUUCUGUGAGCGGAUCGAACUGACCCUGUGAAAAGCCUGAAGAGAGGCAAC